rnacentral:rRNA from 1 species
GACGAACGCUGGCGGCGUGCUUAACACAUGCAAGUCGUACGGUAAGGCCCUUUCGGGGGUACACGAGUGGCGAACGGGUGAGUAACACGUGAGUAACCUGCCCACAACUUUGGGAUAACGCUAGGAAACUGGUGCUAAUACUGGAUAUGUGCUCCUGCUGCAUGGUGGGGGUUGGAAAGCUCCGGCGGUUGUGGAUGGACUCGCGGCCUAUCAGCUUGUUGGUGGGGUAGUGGCCUACCAAGGCGGCGACGGGUAGCCGGCCUGAGAGGGUGACCGGCCACAUUGGGACUUAGAGGCGGCCCAGACUCCUACGGGAGGCAGCAGUGGGGAAUAUUGCACAAUGGGCGCAAGCCUGAUGCAGCAACGCCGCGUGCGGGAUGACGGCCUUCGGGUUGUAAACCGCUUUCAGCAGGGACGAAGCUUUUUGUGACGGUACCUGCAGAAGAAGCACCGGCUAACUACGUG